rnacentral:rRNA from 1 species
CGUGUAGGCUGAUAUUUAAGUUGGUUGUGAAAUCCCCGGGCUUAACCUGGGAAUUGCAGUCGAUACUGGAUGUCUAGAGUAUGGUAGAGGAAAGUGGAAUUCUCGGUGUAGUGGUUAAAUACGUAGAUAUCGAGAAGAACAUCGGUGGCGAAGGCGGCUUUCUGGCCCAAUACUGACGCUGAGGCGCGAAAGCGUGGGGAGCAAACAGGAUUAGAUACCCUGGUAGUCC